AUGUUGUUAAUAGCAGCCAGAGCGGCCGAGAUCGCGACACGAAGUGGAAAUUUUGGCUUGGCCGCUUCUUGGUAUACUGGUGUAGCGCGAUACGGCGUAGCGGCUGCGAUAGGGCUGGAAAGAUUGAGACGGGGUAAAGUGGCCCAACAUGCUUUCGUUUGCAGGGAGAAAGCUAGACUCUCGCGACCUGCAGUUGGAAAAACUUAUUUUGCUGGUGAGGGAUUGUCUUCCCAGGAUCAUGUAUCUCUGACAUCGUCUUCCAAGAUUCAGGUGUUCCCAGCUACUCCACAACAUUAG